rnacentral:rRNA from 1 species
GCCUACGGGACGCAGCAGUGGGGAAUAUUGCACAAUGGGGGGGAACCCUGAUGCAGCAACGCCGCGUGAAGGAAGAAGGCUUUCGGGUUGUAAACUUCUAUCAAUAGGGACGAAAAGAAUGACGGUACCUAAAUAAGAAGCCCCGGCUAACUACGUGCCAGCAGCCGCGGUAAUACGUAGGUGGCGAGCGUUAUCCGGAAUGAUUGGGCGUAAAGGGUGCGUAGGCGGCCUGCUAAGUCUGGAGUGAAAGGUACCGGCUCAACCGGUACAGGCUCUGGAAACUGGCGGGCUAGAGAGCAGGAGCG